UACGAGGGGGGCUAGCGUUGUUCGGAAUCACUGGGCGUGAAGGGCGCGUAGGCGGCCGAUCAAGUCGGGGGUGAAAGCCUGUGGCUUAACCACAGAAUGGCCUUCGAUACUGUUUGGCUUGAGACCGGAAGAGGUUAGUGGAACUGCGAGUGUAGAGGUGAAAUUCGUAGAUAUUCGCAAGAACACCAGUGGCGAAGGCGGCUGACUGGUCCGGUUCUGACGCUGAGGCGCGAAAGCGUGGGGAGCAAACAGG
rnacentral:rRNA from 1 species